UGCAGAAUCCCGUGAACCAUCGAGUCUUUGAACGCAAGUUGCGCCCGAUGCCAUUAGGUUGAGGGCACGUCUGCCUGAGUGUCACAUAUCGAAGCCUCCUUGACUAUUUUGCAGGGUGGAUGUUGGCCUCCCGUGAGCUCUUUUGUCUCAUGGUUGGUUGAAAAUUGAGACCUUGGUAGGGUGUGCCAUGAUAGAUGGUGGUUGUGUGACCCACGAGACCAAUCAUGCGCUUCUCUAUUGAAUUUGGCCUCUUUUACCCAUAUGCGUUUCUAAACGCUCGUGAUGAGACCUCAGGUCAGGCGGGACUACCCGCUGAAUUUAAGCAUAUCAAUAAGCGGAGGAAAAGAAACUAACAAGGAUUCCCUUAGUAACGGCGAGCGAACCGGGAUAAGCCCACCAUGAGAAUCGGUCGCCCUCGGCGUUCGA
rnacentral:rRNA from 1 species